GAAUUCCACGUGUAGCAGUGAAAUGCGUAGAUAUGUGGAGGAACACCGAUGGCGAAGGCAGCCCCCUGGGUCAAAACUGACGCUCAUGCACGAAAGCGUGGGGAGCAAACAGGAUUAGAUACCCUGGUAGUCCACGCCCUAAACGAUGUCUACUAGUUGUCGGGUCUUAAUUGACUUGGUAACGCAGCUAACGCGUGAAGUAGACCGCCUGGGGAGUACGGUCGCAAGAUUAAAACUCAAAGGAAUUGACGGGGACCCGCACAAGCGGUGGAUGAUGUGGAUUAAUUCGAUGCAACGCGAAAAACCUUACCUACCCUUGACGUGGCUGGAAUCCCUGAGAGAUUGGGGAGUGCUCGAAAGAGAACCAGUACACAGGUGCUGCGUGGCUGUCGUCAGCUCGCGUCGUGAGAUGUUGGGUUAAGUCCCGCAACGAGCGCACCCCUUGUCAUUUGUUGCUACGAAAGAGCACUCUAAUGAGACUGCCGGUGACAAACCGGAGGAAGGUGGGGAUGACGUCAAGUCCUCAUGGCCCUUAUGGGUAGG
rnacentral:rRNA from 1 species